GACGAACGCUGGCGGCGUGCUUAACACAUGCAAGUCGAACGGAAAGGCCCUGCUUUUGUGGGGUGCUCGAGUGGCGAACGGGUGAGUAACACGUGAGUAACCUGCCCUUGACUUUGGGAUAACUUCAGGAAACUGGGGCUAAUACCGGAUAGGAGCUCCUGCUGCAUGGUGGGGGUUGGAAAGUUUCGGCGGUUGGGGAUGGACUCGCGGCUUAUCAGCUUGUUGGUGGGGUAGUGGCUUACCAAGGCUUUGACGGGUAGCCGGCCUGAGAGGGUGACCGGCCACAUUGGGACUGAGAUACGGCCCAGACUCCUACGGGAGGCAGCAGUGGGGAAUAUUGCACAAUGGGCGGAAGCCUGAUGCAGCAUCGCCGCGUGCGGGAUGACGGCCUUCGGGUUGCAAACCGCUUUCGCCUGUGACGAAGCGUGAGUGACGGUAAUGGGUAAAGAAGCACCGGCUAACUACGUG
rnacentral:rRNA from 1 species